UAGUGUCAUCCUAAUUGGAUAGAGCAUUU
rnacentral:piRNA from 1 species